rnacentral:rRNA from 1 species
UGGGGAAUAUUGCACAAUGGGCGCAAGCCUGAUGCAGCCAUGCCGCGUGUAUGAAGAAGGCCUUCGGGUUGUAAAGUACUUUCAGCGGGGAGGAAGGUGUUGAGGUUAAUAACCUCAGCAAUUGACGUUACCCGCAGAAGAAGCACCGGCUAACUCCGUGCCAGCAGCCGCGGUAAUACGGAGGGUGCAAGCGUUAAUCGGAAUUACUGGGCGUAAAGCGCACGCAGGCGGUCUGUCAAGUCGGAUGUGAAAUCCCCGGGCUAAACCUGGGAACUGCAUUCGAAACUGGCAGGCUAGAGUCUUGUAGAGGGGGGUAGAAUUCCAGGUGUAGCGGUGAAAUGCGUAGAGAUCUGGAGGAAUACCGGUGGCGAAGGCGGCCCCCUGGACAAAGACUGACGCUCAGGUGCGAAAGCGUGGGGAGCAAACA